rnacentral:rRNA from 1 species
AACGAACGCUGGCGGCAGGCUUAACACAUGCAAGUCGAACGGGUGUAGCAAUACAUCAGUGGCAGACGGGUGAGUAACACGUGGGAACCUUCCUAGGGGUACGGAACAGCUCAGGGAAACUUGAGCUAAUACCGUAUACGUCCGUAAGGAGAAAGAUUCAUCGCCCCUAGACGGGCCCGCGUCGGAUUAGGUAGUUGGUGGGGUAACGGCCUACCAAGCCUACGAUCCGUAGCUGAUCUGAGAGGAUGAUCAGCCACACUGGGACGUGAGACACGGCCCAGACUCCUACGGGAGGCAGCAGUGGGGAAUCUUGGACAAUGGGCGGCAAGCCUGAUCCAGCCAUGCCGCGUGAGUGAAGAAGGCCUUAGGGUUGUAAAGCUCUUUCAGCUCCGACGAAGCGAGAGUGACGGUAGGAGCAGAAGAAGCACCGGCCAACUACGUGCCAGCCGCCGCCGUAAG